UUUAAUAACAUUUGUACCGUAGACAGUAGGUGUCAGAUUAGACUUAAUUUCCUACCGAGGUAAUACGAUAGAUUUUUAGGAUUGAUCUUAUUGUAUAUAACCUCCAUGUCUCGUUUGAUGUGGAGGUUUUUAUU
rnacentral:sRNA from 1 species